AUGAACGCUGGCGGCGUGCCUCAUACAUGCAAGUCGCGCGAACGGACGAGAAGCUUGCUUCUCUGAUGUUAGCGGCGGACGGGUGAGUAACACGUGGAUAACCUACCUAUAAGACUGGGAUAACUUCGGGAAACCGGAGCUAAUACCGGAUAAUAUUUUGAACCGCAUGGUUCAAAAGUGAAAGACGGUCUUGCUGUCACUUAUAGAUGGAUCCGCGCUGCAUUAGCUAGUUGGUAAGGUAACGGCUUACCAAGGCAACGAUGCAUAGCCGACCUGAGAGGGUGAUCGGCCACACUGGAACUGAGACACGGUCCAGACUCCUACGGGAGGCAGCAGUAGGGAAUCUUCCGCAAUGGGCGAAAGCCUGACGGAGCAACGCCGCGUGAGUGAUGAAGGUCUUCGGAUCGUAAAACUCUGUUAUUAGGGAAGAACAUAUGUGUAAGUAACUGUGCACAUCUUGACGGUACCUAAUCAGAAAGCCACGGCUAACUACGUG
rnacentral:rRNA from 1 species